CCUACGGUGUGCAGCAGUGAGGAAUAUUGGUCAAUGGGCGGGAGCCUGAACCAGCCAAGUCGCGUGAGGGACGAUGGUCCUAUGGAUUGUAAACCUCUUUUGUCGGGGAACAAAGUCGCCCACGUGUGGCCGGAUGUGUGUACCCGAAGAAAAAGCAUCGGCUAACUCCGUGCCAGCAGCCGCGGUAAUACGGAGGAUGCGAUCGUUAUCAGGAUUUAUUGGGUUUAAAGGGUGCGUAGGCGGACGGUCAAGUCAGCGGUAAAAAUGCGGUGCUCAACGCCGUACAGCCGUUGAACCGGGCAGUCUUGAGUGGGAGAGAAGUAUGCGGAAUGCGUGGUGUAGCGGUGAAAUGCAUAGAUAUCAAGCAGAACUCCGAAUGGGAAGGCAGCAUACCGGCGCCCUACUGACGCUGAGGCACGAAAGCGUGGGUAUCGAACAGGAUUAGAUACCCGAGUAGUC
rnacentral:rRNA from 1 species